rnacentral:lncRNA from 1 species
GGCCGCACCCACAGCCUAUGGAGGUUCCCAGGCCAGGGGUCUAAUCCGAGCUACAGCUGCCAGCCUACACCAGAGCCACAGCAAUGUGGGAUCUGAGCUGCAUCUGCGACCUACACCACAGUUCACAGCAAUGCCUGGAUCCUUAACCCCCUGAGAGAGGCCAGGGAUUGAACCCACACCCUCCUGGGUACCAGUGAGGUCAUUUCUGCUGAGCCACAAUGGGAACUCCCAUAUUUGGGGGCUCUUCAUCAAAGGGCAAGAACACAGGACGCCAAAGACUUGGACUUGGAGGCACUUUCUUGGGACAUGACAUUUAAUAUCCUUCAAGGACCACAGGGGUCCAGGUGACCUUGCUGCUGGCGUUGCUAUGGCCGGCGGCCUCCAAGACGGGCCCCAUGGCCCCCCUCCUGGUGUCCAUGGCCUUUCGUCAUCCCUUCCCACUGACGAUGGGCUGGACUUGUGACUCCCACCAAGUAGAAUAUGCCAGAGUGACGGAUGCCAUGUCCAUGAUGAGGCUGGCUUACGUCUGAGGCUUUCUCUCUCUCUCUCUCCCCUGGUGCUCUUUCUGCCCUCCUGACAAAUACCUUUUCCUUCUUUUCCAAAGUCCAGGCACCACGAGAAGUCCAGACUAUCUUGCAGGAGAAGCCACCUCCAAGAGAGAUUCUGGAGGAUGAGGGGUCACAGGGAAGAGAAGAGGACACCCCAGCCAGCACCAACGGCCAGCCACCUGGUGUUCUUCAAAGUCACCAGGUUUUAGGGUGUUUAUUCCACCGCCAGAGACAACAAAUCCAAUAGUGCUCAGAAGCCUGGAGAGAGUGAUGAGCCCAUGCUGGACAAAGUGGCAUGCAUGAUUCGCUCUAAAAGAGAGAAGAGGGAGGAAUAAAGAAGCUGAAAGCUGGAAUGGAUCCGUUAUGUGAGGUCAGGGGGUCACCAGAUCCUGCUCAAUGAAAGGAUCCAGAGGACACACCACGAACUAAGGCCACCAGGACCUUAUUAACUUAAGGUCACCAAGAAGUCUGGCGGUGGCUCUCCUCUGCAGGCCAGAGGGGGAGUCACAGAGCUGGGGGUGACCCCGCCUUCACAAGGGACAGAAGCCAGAUGUCAAUUAGCGGGAGCCAGCUCUGGUGCGUUUCACCAUAACAACCAGCAAGUCUGGAGCGGUGGCCGAUGGGGUGUGGAGAUUGCUGACAGAGCAGCGCCGUCCUAGAUGUAACACAGGGGGCAGCUCGGAGUGACGCCAUUUAUCACAACAACAAAGCAAGUGUGGAGACACAGGAGACUAAGAGCAAUGGAUCCAAGAAGCAGUCAUUGGCCCUCACUCAGUGUCUGGAUCAAGUCACUUUUCAGAUCCAGAACCUGCUAGUGGCAGAGGUAGAUGCGUUAUUAACAGAAAGGACCCAGUGACAUCACCCCACGUAUAUACUAGAACAUGUACUAAGGUUAUUGCACACGAAGAAAGUGGGGAGAUCCAGGUGUUUGAAAGCCCUUGGGCAUUCCUGUGGCGACACUGACAGCCAGAGACACAGAGCCCUAUCUUGGUCUCCUGUAGAGUGAGGGCUCGUAGGAACCAGGUUACAAAUGGAUUCAUGGUCAAUAUCUGGCUCCUGGUAGGUCUACGGGGUCUGUGGUCAUCUCCCCCAUCCUCCGGUGUCAAACUGGGAUUAAGUUUAGCAGUGGGUAUAAUUUCCACAUUGGGUCUUUGGCCUUUGGCAUAAGAGCCGUCAGAGUGAAGAAGGGCAAAUGGAAACUUCUGAAGGUGCCCCCUCCUGCCUGGCCAAGAAGGGAAAUAAAAAAAUAGUACAUCCCUGAGGAUUGGAAAAGACUAAUAUCACCACUCAAUACUUAAAGGAGAUGAUGGCCCCUCUUGUAUCUUCAGUUGAUCUGCCAGCUGGAGCCCUGCAGAGAGCGACAGAUCUGGAGAAUGCCUGGGGAUGACUGCAACUCAACGACUCAGUAGGCCUGACUGUAGCUGCUGUGAUAGACGAGGUAUUUUUUGCUCUAGAAGAUUCAUAAGGCCUAACGUAUGUGGUGUGUGGCUCCUGGUUUGGUAAAUGUUUCCUCUUUUUGCAAGAAAAGAAGAUCCAGAAAUAGUUCUCGUGAUCAUGACACCGAUAAUGCUUAUUUAGUUGUGCCUCCAUCUCUCUUAACUCUCUCGGCUUUGGUGAUAAUAUAGUCCAAAGAGAUCUGGACCACCUGGACCUUCCAUGGAACAUCACCGUCAUUGGUUACAUUGAUGGCAUCAGGCUCAUCAGACAGAAUGAGCAAGAGAUGGCCGAGCACUGGAAGCCUUGGUAAGACCAGUGUGCCACACAGGGUGGGAUGUGAAUGCUAUGACGAUUCGGCAACUGGCCACAGCCACGGGGGAGUUUUCAGGGCUCCACUGGUCCGAGAUGCACCAGAACACCCCCUCUAAAUUAAAAGACAAAUUGCUGAUAGAGCCAGUGGGAGAAUCACGAUGCAGCUUCAGGAUGCUAAGGCAGGGCCACGCAAUCUGCAGCAGACAAGCACAUACCUUCAGGGAAACAACUCGUGUUGUAUCACUGGGUCCUAAGAGAGACAGUCUACGGUUACCUAUUAUGAGCUGGGGUCUGUCAGACCCACCAAGUCAGAGAGUUGGGUGGGCCCAGCAGUAGUUCAAUGUAAGUUGGAAAUGGUAUAUCUGGGACCAAGCUCCAUGGAUGGAUAGUCCAGAGUCCCAGGUCACCUAUCACAGUGGCUCAAGCAUCCAGAUGACAUCUAGUCCAUGCUGGAUGUUCUUAAGACCAGCUGCAGGCAGAGGAAGAGGCCCUAGCGUGCUUUAGAGAUGAGCUGGGCUGGUUGGUACAAAGCAAAAGUGGAUGGAGGCUGCAACACAUGGGAUGACUGGCUGAGAUGGAAAGUGAGAAUCUUCUCAACAGGUGUAGCUUCAAGUGACAAUGUGGUUACUCACUUCGUGUAAAAGCAAAAGUAAUCUGAGGUGAGAAUACGGAGAGGUUUGCGGGCAGAGGCCAUCAGGUCAUCUGAUCAGUGUCAUGAAAGUAAAAGGACGCCUCACCA